rnacentral:tRNA from 1 species
CCAGGUGUAGCGUAGUUUGGCUAACGCGUCGGCUUUGGGUGCCGAAGAUCGCAGGUUCGAAUCCUGCCUCCUGGACCA